rnacentral:rRNA from 1 species
GGGCUCGCAGGCGGUUUCUUAAGUCUGAUGUGAAAGCCCCCGGCUCAACCGGGGAGGGUCAUUGGAAACUGGGAAACUUGAGUGCAGAAGAGGAGAGUGGAAUUCCACGUGUAGCGGUGAAAUGCGUAGAGAUGUGGAGGAACACCAGUGGCGAAGGCGACUCUCUGGUCUGUAACUGACGCUGAGGAGCGAAAGCGUGGGGAGCGAACAGGAUUAGAUACCCUGGUAGUCCACGCCGUAAACGAUGAGUGCUAAGUGUUAGGGGGUUUCCGCCCCUUAGUGCUGCAGCUAACGCAUUAAGCACUCCGCCUGGGGAGUACGGUCGCAAGACUGAAACUCAAAGGAAUUGACGGGGGCCCGCACAAGCGGUGGAGCAUGUGGUUUAAUUCGAAGCAACGCGAAGAACCUUACCAGGUCUUGACAUCCUCUGACAACCCUAGAGAUAGGGCUUUCCCUUCGGGGACAGAGUGACAGGUGGUGCAUGGUUGUCGUCAGCUCGUGUCGUGAGAUGUUGGGUUAAGUCCCGCAACGAGCGCAACCCUUGAUCUUAGUUGCCAGCAUUC